rnacentral:rRNA from 1 species
GCGAAUGGCUCAUUAAAUCAGUUAUCGUUUAUUUGAUAGUACCUUACUACUUGGAUAACCGUGGUAAUUCUAGAGCUAAUACAUGCUAAAAACCCCAACUUCGGGAGGGGUGUAUUUAUUAAAUAAAAAACCAACGCCCUUCGGGGCUUCUUGGUGAUUCAUGAUAACUUUACGGAUCGCAUGGCCUUGCGCCGGCGACGGUUCAUUCAAAUUUCUGCCCUAUCAACUUUCGAUGGUAAGGUAUUGGCUUACCAUGGUUUCAACGGGUAACGGGGAAUUAGGGUUCGAUUCCGGAGAGGGAGCCUGAAAAACGGCUACCACAUCCAAGGAAGGCAGCAGGCGCGCAAAUUACCCAAUCCCGACACGGGGAGGUAGUGACAAUAAAUACUGAUACAGGGCUCUUUUGGGUCUUGUAAUUGGAAUGAGUACAAUUUAAACCUCUUAACGAGGAACAAUUGGAGGGCAAGUCUGGUGCCAGCAGCCGCGGUAAUUCCAGCUCCAAUAGCGUAUAUUAAAGUUGUUGCAGUUAAAAAGCUCGUAGUUGAAACUUGGGUCUGGCUGGCAGGUCCGCCUCACCGCGUGUACUUGUCCGGCCGGGCCUUCCUUCUGGAGAACCUCAUGCCCUUUACUGGGCGUGUUGGGGACCAGGACUUUUACUUUGAAAAAAUUAGAGUGUUCAAAGCAGGCCUUUGCUCGAAUACGUUAGCAUGGAAUAAUAGAAUAGGACGUGCGGUCCUAUUUUGUUGGUUUCUAGGACCGCCGUAAUGAUUAAUAGGGACAGUCGGGGGCAUCAGUAUUCAAUUGUCAGAGGUGAAAUUCUUGGAUUUAUUGAAGACUAACUACUGCGAAAGCAUUUGCCAAGGAUG